rnacentral:tRNA from 1 species
AGCAAAGUGGCAGAUAAUUGCCUUAGGUUUAAGCCCUAAUCAUGGGAUUUUUACCCCUUUUCUA